UUGAAUGAAACUUCUGGCUGGAUGCUGUUGUGCUGGCCCUUUGUGGCAAUGUGCACGCAUGCUUUCUGGUCAUUUGUUUCUUCUGUUCCACCUGUGCACUGACUGUAGACACAGUGUGUCUAUGAUAAUUAUGUCGUCUGAGUACUAUUAUAAAUAGUUA
rnacentral:misc_RNA from 1 species